rnacentral:snRNA from 1 species
AAACCAAGGGAUUAGGUGCAAAG